rnacentral:rRNA from 1 species
CCGGUAAACGGCGGCCGUAACUAUAACGGUCCUAAGGUAGCGAAAUUCCUUGUCGGGUAAGUUCCGACCUGCACGAAUGGCGUAAUGAUGGCCAGGCUGUCUCCACCCGAGACUCAGUGAAAUUGAACUCGCUGUGAAGAUGCAGUGUACCCGCGGCAAGACGGAAAGACCCCGUGAACCUUUACUAUAGCUUGACACUGAACAUUGAGCCUUGAUGUGUAGGAUAGGUGGGAGGCUUGGAAGUGUGGACGCCAGUCUGCAUGGAGCCGACCUUGAAAUACCACCCUUUAAUGUUUGAUGUUCUAACGUUGACCCGUAAUCCGGGUUGCGGACAGUGUCUGGUGGGUAGUUUGACUGGGGCGGUCUCCUCCUAAAGAGUAACGGAGGAGCACGAAGGUUGGCUAAUCCUGGUCGGACAUCAGGAGGUUAGUGCAAUGGCAUAAGCCAGCUUGACUGCGAGCGUGACGGCGCGAGCAGGUGCGAAAGCAGGUCAUAGUGAUCCGGUGGUUCUGAAUGGAAGGGCCAUCGCUCAACGGAUAAAAGGUACUCCGGGGAUAACAGGCUGAUACCGCCCAAGAGUUCAUAUCGACGGCGGUGUUUGGCACCUCGAUGUCGGCUCAUCACAUCCUGGGGCUGAAGUAGGUCCCAAGGGUAUGGCUGUUCGCCAUUUAAAGUGGUACGCGAGCUGGGUUUAGAACGUCGUGAGACAGUUCGGUCCCUAUCUGCCGUGGGCGCUGGAGAACUGAGGGGGGCUGCUCCUAGUACGAGAGGACCGGAGUGGACGCAUCACUGGUGUUCGGGUUGUCAUGCCAAUGGCACUGCCCGGUAGCUAAAUGCGGAAGAGAUAAGUGCUGAAAGCAUCUAAGCACGAAACUUGCC